rnacentral:rRNA from 1 species
GAUGGGGAGAUUCACGUCAGCGACGCUGGCCUCGCGAUGGCGCGUGAUGUCUUGGGGACUUCGGUAACCGGGUCACACCGUCGUCGUGUAAGUCGGCGAUGUCGGCGUGCACUUCUCCCCUGGUAGGACGUCGCGACCCGUUGGGUGCCGGCUUAAGGCCCGGGUGGUAGCCUGUCUCGGUCCGCCGAGUCAGACCCCUGGUCGCCAAAUGCCGGCUGCCCGGCGGUACUCGUAUGGUAUCGGGCCGCAAAAUCUAACUGCGUCGGACCCGUCGCAAGCGCGAUCAGUGUAUCACGGAGGUCGGACCAAGUGCCGUUCCCGUGCCUGGUCAGCUGUUGGCUGACGGUGCUCUCCGACCGGCCAUUAGCGGAUACCGGUCGGCGACGCUACUGCUUUGGGUAAUCUCAGGACCCGUCUUGAAACACGGACCAAGGAGUCUAACAUGUGCGCGAGUCAUUGGGACCGCAUGCCUAAAGGCGUAAUGAAAGUGAAGGUAGGCCUUAGCGUCGACCGAGGGAGGAUGGGU